rnacentral:rRNA from 1 species
GACAGCUAUGAUACAAUUUUGAAACUUGAUCUCAUCAGAUUUCAUGAGCUAAGCAAGUUUAGGUCUGGUCAAUCCUAGGAUGGGAGACUUCCUUGAAAAAUGAGGUUGCUGUUG